UACAGAGGGUGCGAGCGUUAAUCGGAAUUACUGGGCGUAAAGGGCGCGUAGGCGGUGUCUUAAGUUAGAUGUGAAAUCCCUGGGCUUAACCUAGGAACUGCAUCUAAGACUGAUACGCUAGAGUGCGGUAGAGGAUAGUGGAAUUUCCGGUGUAGCGGUGAAAUGCGUAGAUAUCGGAAGGAACACCAGUGGCGAAGGCGGCUACCUGGACAGUUACUGACGCUCAGGCACGAAAGCAUGGGGAGCAAAAGGG
rnacentral:rRNA from 1 species